UCUUUCGAAAAUUGUUAAAAAAUAAAAAAUUACUUACCGAUAUUUAAUAUUUCAUUAACGUUAGGAGUUUCUUUUUCUUCGAUAUUGCAAUUUCAUUUUAAAUAGGAUUAUGAGAUGACCGAGCUUCGUAAAAUUUGUUUUAUUACCAAGAUGCUUACUGUUAUGCAAGAGAAUUUAUUAGCAUUGGUAGAGUGGCUUGUAUCGGAUGAGCAACAUUACUUCCAUCGUACAAGUACUGCCAUUAAUUACAACUUCGCGUGAACUUUGAACUUUUCACGGACGUUUUUCGUUUCAGAAGUUCCAUCCAACUUCUUUUGAAUCUGUAUUCUACGAUUUUCUACGAUCGCCGGUUGAAGGUGUAGAGCAUAACGAACGAGACUCGCAUGGAUCCGCGAACGACAGGAUGAUAUACGUCCCGAUUCUCCGGUUACGAUAGAUCCGCGGUUGAAAGACGAUUUAUUCCCUCGCGGCGUCUAUUGUCAGUGGAUGUUUGUCAGUGGGCGACCAGAAUUGUUUACCCUAUGACAUACUCGCCGGCCUCUUAGUCAUAACUUACUCGUCAUACGAUAUUCAACGAGGCUACAGCGGCGUAAACGUGACGUACGUUUAAGAUAAAAAGUAUUUUAACAAUGGAACAUGAGCGUAUGCCUCGGUCGUAGAAUUAUCAAUCGUAUUUGUCGAACGUGAGAUGCGCCUCGAAUUUCUUCCUAUAUAUAUGCAAUAUAUAACAGGAAGUCGAAGAUUAAAUGGAAUUCUCAUCCUAUCGUUUUGAUACCACUUAUCGUCUAUUAUAAAUUAGAGAAGAGAGAAGGAGAAAAAAAUAAACGAAGAGAGAAUAAAAAAUAUUGCUUUUACCGAUGCGGUAGAAUAAUUUUAUACUUCCCGAUCCGUUUGGGAUUGCUCUUUGUCGUGUGCAAGGAUAUUCAUCGCCCCUCGUUGCCAUCUGUGUCAACCUCGUUCGAAGAAAGUUCACGAACCGUGUAAUCGAUAUCUGACACAUUUGAUGAAGUGGAUCUGAAAGAAACGACAGGCUUAAACGGUUUCGAGUCGCUUCAACGAUGAAAGCAACACUCAUGGGAAUGAAGAACUCAUCGAAGAACUAUCUCGUGGACUAGAUGCCGUCGGCGAAUCUUGUUACAGCGAAUGCCGCGGGAUAUGCAAUCGAGAGAUAUGCUUCUCUCGAUCCACUUAAAAUUUUUUGGACUCCGUUACUCUGGUUUUCUUGCGCUACUUGCAACUAAAGGAUGCUCGCAUUACAGUACAUUCGUAUCGCGCGUAGGGCACACUUACUUCUAAGAAUUUCCACUCGUUAAAGUAGAUCGUCGUAAUAAGAAACCAGUAACUUCCACUGUGACACAUAUUUUAUCUCAUAAAUAUGUUUAUUUAAUGAUUUUACUCGUAUUUGCGUGUUUAGCGAAAAUUUCUCUACCGUUUUAUUUGUUCACUCUAUCUCUAGAUAGAGUGUUUAUUCGGAUUAUCGUUACAAUUUACUUCUUGACUGACAGGAUAAUUGUCUCGUUCGUGUCAAUUGGAAAAAAAAGCAGUCAAGUAAUUUAUAAAACCUAUCCAAUUUUCAACGAGUGGACAAAUUAUCGAUCGUCGUAAUUAGCAAUCGAUCUUAUUUAACUUAUUAUUCUAAUUUCGAAUUAUCUCGAGGAUCGUGUUUUAUAACAAAUCUUUGAACAAACAGCACGAUGUUAUCGAAUUUAGUAUACAGUUACAGACGAAAACAACACCCAUGGGAAACGAGAGGAACUCGACGAUGACCAUGGGGAAAGAGACCGUUCGAUGUUGGGGUCCCUCUGAAUGCAUGCAGCACGGAACGGUCCCGGAAAUCAGUCCCGUCACGCAGACCGGAAGCUGAACGAUGCCACGACGAUGGAUUGACACUAAAUCCCAUCGCCCAUUCUCUUCUUUUUCUCUCUCAAUUCGAUACAAUUACCCUUUCCGUGUUAACAGGUUACGAGCCAAAAUAAAACCCUCUCGCUGUCUUAUUUAAUUUUUAGAAAAAAAAAAAGAAAAAACAAUUAUUUCCCCGUACGAUAAUUUUACGCAAAAUUUUUCCACGAUGCUUAAUAAUCUUUUAUCUGUCCCAUUCUUUUUCAACAUUCCUCUUCGAAAGGACCUGCAAUUGUCUCGUCAAAAUGAAACUGCGCGUCGAACUGUACAUCGAUACCGGCGCUUUGUCGGCCCGUUUCCGCCACAGUCCCGUAACCUAAAAUUUAAAGAUCCUCGGGGCUAAUAUUUUCAGAUUGUAACACUCGGUUUAAGACGAUAUUCGGUUUCGAUACAGGCGAACAGGUUCGCCUUGCAAGGUGAGAUGCGUGCUUCUCCCGUUCUUUCAUUCUCUUCCACCUUCUCUGUCUGCCGCGUUUUCGUCUCGAAACCCACACGAGCCCUCUUAUAUUCGUGUACUGUCGGCGCGUCGGUGCGCGUACGUGCACACGUAAGGGGCUCGUGCAGGUGCACAGUGGGCGUGCGCCGUGCAGCCUGCGAAAGAAUUGCACACGAAGGAAGAGACUCGGCUGUGGGAAAGUAACGCAACACCAUGAGAGCCUGGACCGCCGCUGCCAAACUCCCAUAGCGGCGUGUAUAGUGGUGCUGGAUGCGCUCGCUGCGUGCACGAGGAUAAAGUGGCUGACCACCGUGGUUCCGAUAUGCUCUCUGCCUUCGCCUUUCCUGUCUGUCAAGCCUGCUUCUACGAAUUGCUGAAAAUAUUUUUAAUCGUUACAGAAUCUCUGUGAUUCUGUAACAAUAAUGGUACGAUUUAAUAUAAUAAAUCUUUCGUAGAAUAUAAUUUUAAAAUAUGAUCGAGUCUUUAAUAUUUGGAAUAAUAUAGGAUUGAAAUGUUCUUUAAUGAGAAAAGUUUCCAAAAAAUUGAGAAACGACAGAUCUUAAACGUUAUCCAAUUUUUCCACGUCGAAAUUAUAUAAUCUGUAAAAAAUCUAUUCCAGGAAUUUUAUUAUCUUACCAAUCCUGUAGUUUUCUUUCAUCAAAAAAGUGCUUUGUGAGGGAGCCACGAUAUUUUUAUCGCUUCGAGUGGUAGGACUUUUCAGAUAUGAAAGAGAUUUUUACGAUUCCGGGGCUGCUUCGACCACAAUCCUCCACAUUGUACGGAAUUUAAGUACUUUCUAGGUUAGUCACGACGCUUUCAUUGGUUAAAAUGUGGAACGUUUGAUGGAAUGGAAGGAGAUCUGAGUUACGGCGCGCCACGGAGGUGCCUCCAUGAUGAACGAGCGAAUCGAAAGUCACACUCGAGUGCUCUUUUUCGCAUGACAUACAUGUUUCAGACUUAUCUGCCGAUUGCAGCUGCGACGAGUACGAUCUAGUUGCCGAGGCUAAUUGAAUUUUCUCCUUGAGAUCGUCGUGGAACGAAGCCAGACCGCCGAGGGAAAUGCUUCUCACAGGAGGCUCGUUGUUCGCGACAAAAGGGAAGAGUGUUGCACCAAGGAAUCGCGAUAUCACGCGUCUCUGAAACGACACCGACGUUGCACCGUGUUUAUUUCUUCUUACUUAAGGGUCGGAGAGCCCCUUAUAAAAUCCAUCUGAUCGUGCCGACAUUGGAAUCGGAAUGCUGUGUACAACAGCACUUUGGUCUCGAAUAAUAAAGAACGACAAUAAAUAUAUAGAUAAGAAUAAAGGGAAAGCUUCUAUCGAAAAAAUUUGAUGCAAGGAGAAUAUAAUUUUUAAAUUUGGCGAGUGAGAAGUAUCAUUUUCAAAAUUUCUGAUCGAUGUACUUCCAACAAUAGUACCUGUAUUGUGUGUACGAGCAUCGAAUUACUAGGCCACCCUACAGAAAUUCCCUAAGGAUAUUCUGCUCAGAUAAUCGCUCAAGGAAUUCAUAAGAUCUUGGAGAAGAAUAUUCAUAUUACGUGGCGAGAGAAAUCAGUAAAAAUGAUUAUGACCGACAAGAAGGAAAUAGAAUUGGCCGCUUCUCUUCCGGAAUGAAAGGAAAAAUAUAACUUUCGUUCGUAUCUCAUCUUCGAUGGAAACACAUUUGUCCGUUCUAGAUUGUAUCUGGAGCACUAGAAAAGGAAAUUUUUUUUUUUUUUUUAUGGGAAAUAAUCUUUAAUUCUUCCGCGAGUACGAACAUUUUUAUAUAACGAAUUAUGAAUAUUAAAUUUAUACCUUUACUCCUACGCGAGUUUAUCGUUUCUCUUCGAAGGAAAUCAACGUGAAAUCUUUUUUUCCUCCUUUCGUACGUAUGUAAAAAUCGCCGCCCAUACGUCCGUGUGAUUUCGUGUGAUUACGUAGGAAGCAAUCCUUGUUCUUUUGUAAUUUUAUUUCCGAUUUGUCAAUACAGGCAUAUAAAUAAAAUAUCGAAUCUUCUUUAAGUCCAAAGACGAAACUUGCGUAAAAGAUAACUCGUCAUGGGUGAUUUAACUAUCGCGUAGGAGUUUAUCAGAAACUAGACUGUUGUAAUGUUUUUUAUUUCCUAUUAGAAAAAAAAUUGUCUUAGAAGAAAAAAAAUUCACAUUCUCAGUGAGAAAUAUUUUAGAAUAUCGAAACAGAUUUUUCAAACGUUUAAAAUUAUUUAUUUCGAAAAAUUCGCAUACGAUUCGCAUCCUUUUCGAAGAAAUUCACUCAUAAGUUUUUGUUAGUUGCUAUUUACAUAGAUUUAUAGAGAGCUUGACAAGUUUUCUGCUAAACGAAAGGAGUAGAAAUAACUAAACAUGGCAGCUAUUAGCGGCUUGACUGCAUUUUUUUAAGAAUCUCGAAAGUUGCGCGUGACAUCCAUUAGUAGGUAGAACUCGUUGUUCCAAAGACGUUUGUAAUUUACACGCUUAGGAAGCUACACGAGACGUUUACAGAAUUUCAAUCGUCAUUUAAGGCGUCACCUGUCACAGGUGAAUUACUUCUCACCCCCUGGAUCGCCUUAUAACACUAAAAAAAAAAUACCAAUGAACACUUGUACCCACGUACUAAAAACUUAUGUAAAAUAUCAAAUCUAACUAUCUUAUAUCUUUCCCCCUUUUUAUACGACGUCGUUAAGUUCGUCGAUAUUCAAAUUUGAUCACGUAUCUUCUCGCUUACGAUAAACAUUCUUGUCAAACCAAAAAAAGAAACCAGAAAUAACUUGUA